AUACGGAGGGUGCAAGCGUUAUUCGGAAUUACUGGGCGUAAAGGGUGCGUAGGCGGUUUGAUAAGUCUGAUGUGAAAUCCUAUGGCUCAACCAUAGAACUGCAUUGGAAACUGUCAGACUAGAAUACUGAAGGGGCAGAUGGAAUUAGUGGUGUAGGGGUAAAAUCCGUAGAUAUCACUAGGAAUACCGAAAGCGAAAGCGAUCUGCUGGGAAGUUAUUGACGCUGAGGCACGAAAGCGUGGGGAGCAAACGGGAUUAGAAACCCUAGUAGUCC
rnacentral:rRNA from 1 species